GACGAAGGGGGCUAGCGUUGUUCGGAAUUACUGGGCGUAAAGCGCACGUAGGCGGAUUGUUAAGUGAGGGGUGAAAUCCCAGGGCUCAACCCUGGAACUGCCUCUCAUACUGGCAAUCUCGAGUUCGAGAGAGGUGAGUGGAAUUGCGAGUGUAGAGGUGAAAUUCGUAGAUAUUCGCAGGAACACCAGUGGCGAAGGCGGCUCACUGGCUCGAUACUGACGCUGAGGUGCGAAAGCGUGGGGAGCAAACAGG
rnacentral:rRNA from 1 species